AACAAACGCUGGCGGCGUGCCUAAUACAUGCAAGUCGAACGGGGAAAGCUUUCGGGUGAGUACUAGUGGCGCACGGGUGAGGAACGCGUGGAUAAUCUGCCUUAGAGUGGGGGAUAACUAGUCGAAAGAUUAGCUAAUACCGCAUAAGACCACGAGAGCUGCGGCUUUUGAGGUCAAAGGUUUUUCGCUCUAAGAUGAGUCCGCGUAAGAUUAGCUAGUUGGUGAGGUAACGGCUCACCAAGGCGACGAUCUUUAACUAGUCUGAGAGGAUGAUCAGUCACACUGGCACUGAGACACGGUCCAGACUCCUACGGGAGGCAGCAGUAGGGAAUAUUGCACAAUGGAGGAAACUCUGAUGCAGCGACGCCGCGUGAGUGAUGAAGGCCUUCGGGUCGUAAAGCUCUGUCGCAGGGGAAUAACACAAUGAAGGUACCCUGUAAGAAAGGAUCGGCUAACUUCGUG
rnacentral:rRNA from 1 species